CGCCGAAGCUGCCUCCGCC
rnacentral:snRNA from 1 species